rnacentral:rRNA from 1 species
GAUGAACGCUGGCGGCGUGCCUAAUACAUGCAAGUCGAGCGAACGGACGAGAAGCUUGCUUUUCUGAUGUUAGCGGCGGACGGGUGAGUAACACGUGGAUAACCUAUCUAUAAGACUGAGAUAACUUCAGGAAACCGGAGCUAAUACCGGAUAAUAUUUUGAACCGAAUGGUUCAAAAGUGAAAGACGGUCUUGCUGAGACUUCUAGAUGGAUUCGCGGUGCAUUAGCUAGUUGGUAAGGUAACGGCUUACCAAGGCAACGAUGCCUAGCCGACCUGGGAGGGGGAUCGGCCACACUGGAACUGGGACACGGUCCAGAAUCCUACGGGAGGCAGCAGUUGGGAAUCUUCCGCAAUGGGCGAAAUCCUGACGGAGCAGCGCCGCGUGAGUGAUGAAGGUCUUCGGAUCGUAAAACUCUGUUAUUAGUGAAGAACAUAUGUGUAAGUAACUGUGCACAUCUUGACGGUACCUAAUCAGAAAGCCACGGCUAACUACGUG